GACGUAGGGUGCAAGUGUUGUCCGGAAUUAUUGGGCGUAAAGAGCUCGUAGGCGGUUUGUCGCGUCGAAUGUGAAAACCCGGGGCUCAACCCCGGGCCUGCAUUCGAUACGGGCAGACUAGAGUUCGGUAGGGGAGUCUGGAAUUCCUGGUGUAGCGGUGAAAUGCGCAGAUAUCAGGAGGAACACCGGUGGCGAAGGCGGGACUCUGGGCCGAUACUGACGCUGAGGAGCGAAAGCGUGGGUAGCAAACAGG
rnacentral:rRNA from 1 species